GGGGUCGGGAGAGAUUUAAAAAGUGCAUGCCUCUAUCUUAUGUGCCUCAUUCAAUUUCAUUAAUGCACAUUCAAUGAUGAUUUUCUCUUCCAUCAAAAUUACCCAAUUCUUUGGAGGAAGGUCAAUUUGUGAUCCAGCCACCACCAAUCACAAGAGCAGAUUUUGAUAAAGUACUUGCAAGACAGAAGCCAACUGUAAGUAAAGCUGAUCUUGAGGUGUAUGAGAGAUUCACGGAGGAGUUUGGGGAAGAAGGCUGAUUGCUUGAGUUUGAACACAAGGACUGAUUAACCAUUUGUACAGGUAAAACCACUAGUACUAUAGGUAAAUGAAAUACGUAUAUAUAGUCAUCAAUAUAGCUUGUAAUAGAAAGUUCAGCAUCUUGUUAAGAGAAAACCGUGCCAUAUUGUUUCAACCUUUCUCUGUCUGUCUCACCAGAAAAGGAAGAGGUGGAAAGCUCUUAAUUGAUGUACAGUGUUACUGGUGAUAGUUUCCAUAAUCAAUAAUGAUUGAUAAUCUUACCAUUUUUUUUCCCA